rnacentral:rRNA from 1 species
GUGGCUCGGAGACAGGUGCUGCAUGGCUGUCGUCAGCUCGUGUCGUGAGAUGUUGGGUUAAGUCCCGCAACGAGCGCAACCCUUGUCUUUAGUUGCCAUCAUUCAGUUGGGCACUCUAAAGAGACUGCCGGUGUCAAACCGGAGGAAGGUGGGGAUGACGUCAAGUCCUCAUGGCCUUUAUGACCAGGGCUACACACGUACUACAAUGGCCGGUACAAAGGGCAGCCACUUAGCGAUAAGGAGCCAAUCCCGUAAAGCCGGUCUCAGUCCGGAUUGGAGUCUGCAACUCGACUCCAUGAAGUUGGAAUCGCUAGUAAUCGCAGAUCAGCACGCUGCGGUGAAUACGUUCCCGGGCCUU